rnacentral:rRNA from 1 species
GACGAACGCUGGCGGCGUGCUUAACACAUGCAAGUCGAACGGAAAGGCCCUGCUUUUGUGGGGUGCUCGAGUGGCGAACGGGUGAGUAACACGUGAGUAACCUGCCCUUGACUUUGGGAUAACUUCAGGAAACUGGGGCUAAUACCGGAUAGGAGCUCCUGCUGCAUGGUGGGGGUUGGAAAGUUUCGGCGGUUGGGGAUGGACUCGCGGCUUAUCAGCUUGUUGGUGGGGUAGUGGCUUACCAAGGCUUUGACGGGUAGCCGGCCUGAGAGGGUGACCGGCCACAUUGGGACUGAGAUACGGCCCAGACUCCUACGGGAGGCAGCAGUGGGGAAUAUGGCACAAUGGGCGGAAGCCUGAUGCAGCAACGCCGCGUGCGGGAUGACGGCCUUCGGGUUGUAACCGCUUUCGCCUGUGACGAAGCGUGAGUGACGGUAAUGGGUAAAGAAGCACCGGCUAACUACGUG